rnacentral:misc_RNA from 1 species
CUCUCUCUCACACACACACACACUCUCUCAAACACGCCAUAACAUACAGACCAAAAACACAAAUCAAACAAAAGAAAAAACAAAAGUUCCUCAUUAGCCUUGUGCCAUUUUGCCCCUUUUGGGAAGUUUGGAACUUGAAAGUUAAGGCUGUUCAGUAGAACUUACAUGCAACUUAGUUUUGGGUCAAUUAUCGCUAAUUAACUAGUGCUACAUAGGCUUGAGCUUCGGAGGGAGAUAGAGUUUGUUUUCUUUCUUCAAUCAGGAAAGAUCAAUGUUAUAAGAGAUGGCUAGUAGAAGAAGAACUGAGACCUGAUAAGUCCGUCCAUGUAUUUCCACUCCAGUAUUGAUUACUCUCCGAAAUAACCAGAAAUGGUUUCGAUAAAUUCAAUCCUUGGUUAUCUUCCAUCUUCACUGAAGCCAACUGAGAAACCCUAGAGCUGGGAGUCAUUGAUCGGAGCUGGCUAUCUCCUACAGUGGAAGAUGAUGCUUCAACACCUUCACUUUGAAAUGGGUAUAAGCCAGUGGGUGGUGGCUCAAAGAAGGGGAAUUGUUGCACUCCUCCGGUUGAUAAAAUGGCACUACUCAUAGCCGAAUUGCUUCCCAUCUGAAAUCCCAUAUCAGCCUGUCCACUAGCACCACUAGUUGCUCCCAAGUGUCCCUGAAUCCCUCCAAAGUUUAACCCAAGAUUCCCAACACCAAAUUGAGUAAGGUUAUGCAAAGAGGUCAUGAAAGGUAAUGGACUUGGUUGUGGAGGCAAAUGACCGAUAAUCUCGGAGGGAGCUGCACUUGUUGAGCCUGAAUAAGAACCCAUUCGCCGUUCAUUGGAAACUGGGGAUUUUGAGCUACUUUGGCUUUUGUUUUUCUUGUUUCUCCUGCAUCCACCUCCAACUGGAACAUUUCUAAGGGCACCACCUCUAGUCCAGUAUCGCCGACAUGUUUUGCAGAAGUGUCGGGGUUGAGAGAGGCUAUAAUUAUUAAAAUAGCAAAACUUGGUAUUGGUGGAUUCACACCUUGGGCAUUUUAGGGCUACCUCUGGCUGUGGUAUCUUUGCUAACCUGGCUCGAUCAGCCAUCGAACCAGGUCUAAUCGAGCCAGUACCACCAUCGCCGACACAAGGAGGUGGAGGAAGAGGCGGAAGCUGGAGGUUUUCAUUGCUAGCUCCUCCUUGUUGAUUUGGUUGCUUUGAGACAAAAAAUUUCAGGAAUUGCAAACAUAUUAAAGAGAAAUUUUAUCUGGUAUAUUCAAGAAAAAGAUCAUAAAAAAAAAGGAAUAGGAAUAAUAAUCUUUAUGAUAUGCUCUCUUUUUUUGGGAACGGGAAAAGAAGCUAUGUGGAUGGAAAUUGAAGAAAAUUAACCUUACCUGCUGCCAAUUGGGAGGAUCUAAAUAGACUGGAAUUGAAGAGAAAACCAUGGUUUUUUUUUUCGAUCUUUUUUUUUUCUUUUAUAAAGGUUGAUGGGUCUUUAGGAAAGAAAAUAUGGUGGAGAAUCACACCAAGAGAAUACCAGAGCCAAGAAAGCAAGAGAAAAAAGAGAAUUAAAGGAGACGGUGAAGGAAAGAUAGAGGAGAUCUUUUGCUUAUUUUUCUCUCUUUUAUUCUCUCAUUCUCUAUCUCUUUUUGUUCUAUUAUAUUUUUAGGGUUUGAGUGGACGAAACUUUCUUCACCUAUAAGCUUUGUGAUGCCUUUGGACUGAGUUUUUA